UACAGAGGUCCCGAGCGUUGUUCGGAUUUACUGGGCGUAAAGGGUGCGUAGGUGGCAGGGUAAGUUUGGUGUGAAAACUCCGAGCUCAACUCGGAAACUGCAUUGAAUACUAUCCUGCUUGAGGAUCGGAAGGGAGACUGGAAUUCUCGGUGUAGCAGUGAAAUGCGUAGAUAUCGAGAGGAACACCGGUGGCGAAGGCGAGUCUCUGGACGAUUCCUGACACUGAGGCACGAAAGCUAGGGGAUCAAACAGG
rnacentral:rRNA from 1 species